ACAGUCAAAGUCUCUCUGCUACCCCAGGAUUCAGGAUGUUGUUCUGCCAGUCUCAGACAGUUCUUUGCUCCAUCUCCAGGUGUCAUCAGCUUCAUUGUUAUCCUGGUGGUGGUGGUGAUCAUCCUGGUCAGUGUGGUCAGCCUGAGGUUCAAGUGUAACCGCUCCAAGGAGGAAGACAAACAGAAACCAGGAGGCUCCAUGAUAUCAGAGAGCUGCUCAGCAGACACGAGCCAGAAGGACAACAGCAUCACUCUGAUCUCCAUGAAGAACAUCAACAUGAACAACAGCAUGAGUUACCCACCAUCAGAAAAGGUGCUAUGAAGAGCCCAGAGAAUGAAGCUGAGACAUCACAACCAGCAGUGACUUUCUAGGUUCUUUUUCUUUUUUUUCCUUUGUGGAAAGAGCGAGGGUGGAUUUUAUAUAUAAAUUAUUAUGUCCUUUCUGAUCAAUACAUAUAGUGUCCUAUAUAGCUUCCCCACCUGGGGCCUAAGGGCUUUCUCCAGUUACAGCCUGCCAUGCUCAGUGGUUGAUAUCUAACUCUAUUUUUGAGAUGCCUUCAAACACUCAGAAUAAAUCCAGCAGCAAGAAGCA
rnacentral:lncRNA from 1 species